UAAGCAAAUUAAGCCCCAAAGCACAGGAUAAUUUUCUAUUUCUGAACUGAUUUGUAAGAGAAUGGGUAACUGAAAUUAGCAAAGAAUCACCCCACACAAAGAUGGCGCGUGCAGAAUUUGUGAAAGCGAAAAAGAAGGCGAAGGAGAAGCAAAAGAGGGACGGAAUACUGCAGAGCUGGGGUGGAUUUUGCCGCAGUAUACAUCUGCAGUCCCAGAAUCCUUUGCCAUGAAACGAACUUCCUUAGUAAGACAAACCAAUGAAGGCCUUGCGAACACUUACCUCCAAGCCUGAAGGGUGUCCCUGGCAUAAGUGAAACCACCAGGAACGGGACUACCACGGUAGCCCUUGCCACGACCACCAUGCCCAUCGCCUCCGCCACCUUCGCCACCCCCUCCCUUGCUCUGCAGUACACAUCGGCUGCAAGCUUACCACAGUGGCUCUCGGCCGAAUUUGCGCAGUGGGUUCCUAGAUUACUUCUGUGUGUGAGAAUAGCCAACCAUGUAGUCUGACAAGAGGCAUUUACAACUACUUAGCCUGUUCAGCUGGAAAGAAAUCAAAAGAUAACACUGAACCCUGAGAUGAUGUAUUGCAAAUCAAAAGUCCCAAUCCAUAAAUAGCCCUCUUGAUGAACUGC